rnacentral:rRNA from 1 species
CCCUUCCCAGAGUAUCAAUUGGAGGGCAAGUCUGGUGCCAGCAGCCGCGGUAAUUCCAGCUCCAAUAGCGUAUAUUAAAGUUGUUGCAGUUAAGAAGCUCGUAGUUGAAUUUCUGCCUUAUCAUUAAUUUCGCUUCCGAACGUUAUUUUAUUGAUUUGGCAUCUUUACUGGUUUUAUAUGUUUUUUAUAUUUUUCCAGUUUUUUUACUUUGAGAAAACUAGAGUGUUUCAAACAGGCUUUCGCCUUGAAUACUACAGCAUGGAAUAAUGAAGUAGGACUAUUGGUUCUAUUUUGUUGGUUAUUGAACCAUAGUAAUGGUUAAUAGGAGCAGUUGGGGGCAUUCGUAUUUAACUGUCAGAGGUGAAAUUCUUAGAUUUGUUAAAGACGAACUACUGCGAAAGCAUUUGCCAAGGAUGUUUUCAUUAAUC